UGGGGAAUAUUGGGCAAUGGGGGAAACCCUGACCCAGCGACGCCGCGUGGGUGAUGAAGGCCUUCGGGUCGUAAAGCCUUGUCAAGAGGAAAGAAUGCCUCUAGGGUAAAUAGCCCUAGAGAAUGACGGUACCUCUGAAGGAAGCACCGGCCAACUCCGUGCCAGCAGCCGCGGUAAGACGGAGGGUGCAAGCGUUGCUCGGAAUCAUUGGGCGUAAAGGGUGCGUAGGCGGCUUCUUAAGUCUGACGUGAAAGCCCAGGGCUCAGCCCUGGAAGUGCGCUAGAAACUGAGAAGCUUGAGUGCCGGAGGGGAGAGUGGAAUUCCUGGUGUAGCGGUGAAAUGCGUAGAUAUCAGGAGGAAUACCGGUGGCGAAAGCGACUCUCUGGACGGUAACUGACGCUGAGGCACGAAAGCGUGGGUAGCAAACAG
rnacentral:rRNA from 1 species